AACGAACGCUGGCGGCGUGCCUAACACAUGCAAGUCGCGCGAGAAAAGGGGGGUAACUCCCUGAGUAAAGCGGCGCACGGGUGAGUAACACGUAGGUAACCUACCCCCGAGUCCAGGAUAACCUGCCGAAAGGUGGGCUAAUACCGGAUAUGACCACGGGAGCCUCGGCUCCUGAGGUGAAAGGUGGCCUCUGCUCGCAAGCUACUGCUCGAGGAUGGGCCUGCGCGCCAUUAGCUAGUUGGUGGGGUAACGGCCCACCAAGGCGAUGAUGGCUAGCUGGUCUGAGAGGAUGGCCAGCCACACUGGGACUGAAACACGGCCCAGACUCCUACGGGAGGCAGCAGUGGGGGAUAUUGCGCAAUGGGCGAAAGCCUGACGCAGCGACGCCGCGUGGGUGA
rnacentral:rRNA from 1 species